rnacentral:hammerhead_ribozyme from 1 species
AUCCAGGUGAAGAGUCUUAAACUGGACGAAAUACGCAUCCUGGAU